GGCGUGGUGCCAGAGUGGUUAAUGGGUGAGACUUGAACUCCAAUAAGAUUUCAGGCAUCUCAUGGCUUCGGCCGCGCAAGUUCGAACCUUGUCCACGUCG
rfam:Verruconis gallopava strain CBS 43764 unplaced genomic scaffold supercont1.19, whole genome shotgun sequence.